GCCAGGUGUGGUGGCGCGCACCUGUAGUCCCAGUUACUCGGGAGGCUGAGGCAGGAGAAUUGCUUGAGCCCGGGAGGCCGGAGGUUGCAGUAAGCUGAGAUUGCACCACUGCACUCCAGCCUGGGCGACAGAAUGAGAUUCCGUCUCAA
rnacentral:SRP_RNA from 1 species